rfam:Strongylocentrotus purpuratus complete mitochondrial genome
AGAGGCCUAGUUAAACUUAUAACUUUGGGUUGUCAGGCCAAAAUUGCUGGUUAAACUCCAGCGGCUUCUG